UUGUAUGAUUUAUUAUAUUUUUUUAAGAGUUGCCUUUACUUUUCUCCUUUUCUCUUUCUUCUUGUUCAUAGUUCACUGUUUCUCUCAUUAUUGUAUCUUUGCUUUUAAUAUAAUUUUCCCUUUUCUGAUGGAAAGCAUGGUUUGUUCAUACUUUUCACAAUUUGGUUAUGUCAACCUCAAUUAAAUGUCUUUUUUUUUUUUCACUUUUGUUCUUCUAGCUUAGGGUUAUCCUCUCACCCCAAACUAUUUUUAUUUUUAACAAUUAAAAAAAAAAGUCCUAUAAAACCGAGCAAAAAAAUUUGUUGAUGUCAUUUUGGUCUCUAAACUUCAAAUUUUGUUGUUAAGGGGUGGUGUAGUUGGCUAGUGCUAGGUCUCAUAGCCUAGAGUUAUCCUGAGGUCGGGAGUUUGAGCCUCUCACACCCCAUUAGUAUUUUUUUUAACAAUUAAAAAAAACGUCCUAUUGAACCUAGCUAAACAUUUGUUUGUGUCAUUUUGAUCUCUAGACUUUAAAAUUUUUCAUCAGGGGGUGGUGGCGCAGUUGGCUAGUGCGUAGGUCUCAUAGCUUAGAGUUAUCCUGAGGUCGAGAGUUCGAGCCUCUCUCACCCCAUAGUAUUUUUCUUUUUUAACCACUAAAAAAACGUCCUAUAAAACCUAGCUAAACAUUUGUUUGUGUCGGGGGUGGUGGCGCAGUUGGCUAGCGCGUAGGUCUCAUAGCUUAGAGUUAUCCUGAGGUCGAGAGUUUGAGCCUCUCUCACCCCGCAGUAUUUUUCUUUUUAAACAAUUAAAAACAAACGCAUUUUGUUUGUGUCGUUUGAUCUCUUUAGCUUCAAAUUUUUUCAUCAAGCAUUUCUGUAUUUGUUGUCCCUCUAAUUUUGUUGG